UGUGAAGCGGGACAGGGAC
rnacentral:misc_RNA from 1 species